AGUUGUCAUACAGAAAGAUGUUUUCAGGACUGAACUGACUUUUAUACGUAUAGGUCUUUGUAAAGAGACUGUAACUCAUAAAACCUCCACUGUUGUCAAAACUCAAUGCCAGUUUUUCACUAUGAAGUGUCUAUAUUUUGGACCUGAAAUCUGCAGUGUUCACUGCCUUUCUUGACUUGGAAUGAUUCCUGCUGCGAGUCUAUAGCUCUGUCACAAUUCGGUUGAGGUUUAGGGUCUGUGUUUGAGUCGAGCAGCUGGCAUGUUUUGUUCUUAUCAACAAACACACCCUCUCUCAUCAGGGUCUUCCUCAAUGGGGUAUCUGCGGUCCAGAUUCAGUGAUGUUUGAGCUCUUCGACCAGAUUGUGCCAAACCCUCACAUCCGGUUCGACGGAAGAACAGAAAACAAGAAUGGGUGGACUCUGAUGCUCCCGGUUUUGACCUUUGCCUGUUGCUGGACUCUGAACUCGCCUGCCUGACCAGUCUGCCUGCCUUGACCACGAGCCUGUCUGCCACUCUGUACCUCCUGGACUCUGAUCUGGUUUUGACCUUUUGCCUGUCCAUGACCAUUCUCUUGCCUACUCC
rnacentral:lncRNA from 1 species